rnacentral:rRNA from 1 species
UACGUAGGGGGCUAGCGUUGCUCGGAAUCACUGGGCGUAAAGCGCACGUAGGCGGCCUCUUAAGUCAGGGGUGAAAUCCUGGAGCUCAACUCCAGAACUGCCUUUGAUACUGGGAGCCUUGAGUUCGGGAGAGGUGAGUGGAACUGCGAGUGUAGAGGUGAAAUUCGUAGAUAUUCGGAGGAACACCAGUGGCGAAGGCGGCUCACUGGCGCGGUACUGACGCUGAGGUGCGAAAGCGUGGGGAGCAAACAGG